GAGAGAGAGAAAGAAGUCUGGAGGAGGCCGAUAAAGAAGAUCACCAGACUGGGCCACAGCAACGCGUGGCAAAGGAACAGCUAGUAAAUAAAUAAAUAUCCAGGAAACAAGCUGUGGGGAUCCAAUUGCUUGUUCCUGUGGAAAUGUUUUGUAUUCAGACACUGCGUUGCUCAUGUUUAGUCAGCUAUCAGAAGCGUCUAUUCCCCCUCGUAAAUGUUACAUUGCAAUCAGCUCGGCACAUCUGGGACUGGCAGCUGUCACUGAUCCAGAUGCGAGAUGAAGCAGCUUGUGGCAGAGAGAGAUGGCUGCCUUCUGGACUGGAAACCUCUUUAUGUAAUUAAGAACUGAAAGGAAAGGAAGGCGGCAUCCUUGUUGUGAAAGCCACCUCUAAACCUGAGAAGAUGGUGAAUUUUGGUGGUCACUGUUCUGAAAACAGACAAUAUUUGUUUUUCUAUCAAAAAUUACUACUAAA